UACAGAGGGGGCAAGCGUUAUUCGGAAUUAUUGGGCUUAAAGGGCGCGUAGGCGGCCUUUCAAGUGGAAGGUGAAAUCCCUCGGCUUAACCGAGGAACUGCCCUCCAAACUGCUUGGCUUGAGUCCGGGAGAGGUGAGUGGAAUUCCCAGUGUAGCGGUGAAAUGCGUAGAUAUUGGGAGGAACACCAGUGGCGAAGGCGGCUCACUGGACCGGAACUGACGCUGAGGCGCGAAAGCGUGGGGAGCAAACGGG
rnacentral:rRNA from 1 species